ACACCUGGGUGGCGCCAUCUAGCGGUUUCAAUUGGCGUAACGGAAUGUAUCGAUUUUUUCCAAAAUGUACGUAUUGAUAUCGAUUGAUAAUCGUUUCCACAAGCGAAAUGGUGGAAACUAUUGGUGGAAAGAUUCAUGCCUUCAUUGAAAGUGUCAAGUAUGGCUGUGUCGUGUUAUCGUGUAUGUUCGUGAAUCGUGAUAACGGUGAAUCGUGAUAACAGUAUAACUAACUGAUAACUAAAUUUACAUGAAUUAACAUAGUUAUGCUUUCCAACUGAAGCACUUGACUUGAUCAAGCAGUUAACUGUCGAGUUUGCCUUGGAGGAUGUAACGUCUUUUGCUUCUACCAGUAAAUUAUUCAUUGCAUACAUUGUUACACUUGAAACUGAUUUGUUUUUUUCAAAUUAGGUCAUAUUACUUCUGAUCAUUUCAAGCAACGUGUUAUACCCAUCAUACCUCCACAUGAAAGGACUGCUCUUUUUACAUCCCACGAAAGACUCCCCAGUUGGAGUGAACAAAACUCGAUUUAGGAAAUGAUAUCCAAUCAAUGAGGACAUCUCAAAGGAACAGAGAUUCAGGACUGGAUUAUAUCAUGCUCGUGAUCAGUAUGCUGUCGACCUUGAAGUUACUUAUAACAGCUUGGGAGUCGGUGGAACAAAAAUAAGAACGAGUACGAUCUACGAGAAUUCUCUAGACGGUCUUCCCGACAUAUCUUCAUGACCCUGCAGCAGCUACGUAGCCCCACGUGAGGUUAUGCCUGUCAAGUAAUCAAUGUCAUUUAAGCUCGACUCUAUCUUGGCCUUUUUCUUUUGACUUACGGUCGACAAUCAAAAAGGCGUGCCUUGUUUUUCGGAAAAAAUAGUAUGGACAGCGUGCCCUGGUCAGUUAAUUGAGCCUGGCGUCAUCCAACACUCGAGGGCAGCAGAAGGACGAUCCACAGCUCCCCGGCCGAAUUGCACUGGAGCGAGUCGACGAAGUAGCCAGCAUCCUUCUGAACUCAAUUCAAAGUCUUUUCGAUGUCCAACUUUGCUAAUGGCGGGUCCGCGAUUGCUGUCGCUUCAUGAUUAGAAUCAAACUUGUGGUUUCAAGGCGACCGAAAAGAAAUAACACUGGGCGGUGUUAAGCGAUAGAUGUUUUUUUUUUCGUAACAACUUCUGGAGGCCUAUUGCAUUCUUCAAAGCCUUCUUAUGAUUUCUGUCAAAUCAAGAAGGGGGACCAUCGGCAUUCAGCUUUCUACGUUGGAAAUAUGUUCCGCCAGUUUUCUGUUUCUUCCGGCUCUCUACUACGGAUGUUUUUAUUCGAUGCUGGCGGUCAAUUCUUUCAACCCGGAACUUUCGUCGUUUAAUAACUCAACAUUGUCGUGGCGCAUUCACCCCGGGCAAGUUUGGAUGGCCAUUUUCUCGUCAAUGAUGCGUUUUAGAACAUACAAAUCGUGUUGAUAUUUUGCGAUGCUGUGUAGAUGAGUCAAAUGAAUACAUGUGUAUUUACGAAA